rnacentral:tRNA from 2 species
GGGCCUUUAGCUCAGCUGGUAGAGCAGCCGGCUCAUAACCGGUCGGUCUGGGGUUCGAGUCCCUAAGGGCCCACCA